UACAGAGACUGCAAGCGUUAUUCGGAUUCACUGGGCGUAAAGGGUGCGCAGGCGGUCGGGUGUGUCAGAUGUGAAAUCCCGAGGCUCAACCUCGGAACUGCGUCUGAAACUACUCGACUAGAGUACUGGAGAGGGUAACGGAAUUCACGGUGUAGCAGUGAAAUGCGUAGAUAUUGGGAGGAACACCAGUGGCGAAGGCGGCUCACUGGACUGGUACUGACGCUGAGGCGCGAAAGCGUGGGGAGCAAACGGG
rnacentral:rRNA from 1 species